UGGGGCGUGGCCAAGCGGUAAGGCACCGGUUUUUGGAGCCGGUAUUCGGAGGUUCGAAUCCUCCCGCCCCAG
rnacentral:tRNA from 1 species